rnacentral:tRNA from 1 species
GCCGACAUAGCUCAGCCGGUAGAGCAGCUGAUUUGUAAUCAGAAGGUCGCGGGUUCGAUUCCUGCUGUCGGCACCA